CACACACACACACACACACACAAGGAAGUGGCUCUGGUCAGCUAAAGAUCGACGGUCGAUGAAACGAUGCGUAUUUAAGUGCUAAUCUUUGAGAAGGGCUUUGGUGGUGAACUGAAACUGCUUGCAAAAGCGUGAAGAAACAGGCUAAAUUUGGCAAUAAGGGAGGAGGGGGACAGGGGUCAUUUACUUAUCAAUGGUAUCCCAAAUAUACUAUGGGUUGUGUAGACAGUUUUUCACUUCCAGUUGUUCGAAGCAUCUUGCAAUUUCCUUCCGCCCCUCCCCAGUCUGUGUGUGUUCAGCGCCAACUAAAGAAAUCAUCUGCAUUCAAGUCUGAUCUGCUCGUGCAUUUCACAAAGGUCACUGGGCUGCUGUUUCAGAGUCCAAGCAUCAUACGCUGUAUACCACCAGACUUGGUCCGGUCCUUCAGUGGCCCUACAUCAGCCACUUUCACUGAGAAAGCAGGCACACACAAACGUAAAUAAUCACGAUCUGUUCCACAUAGGAGUGGAGUUUAAUUAAGGUGACGGGUAACAUCUGCGUUUACCUCGAGCAAAGAGCAGGCGGCUGGGUGGAGGGGUGGGGAGCGGGGGACGCUGAAUGUGAAGGUGACAACAAACCGGAUCCAACUUAGAUCUUUGCAGCAGCUUAAAAAUAACGCUGGCAUUUUCAGAGAACUUGGAUGUCAAGUUGCUUCAGCUUGUGGCUUGUAGUGAAGGUGAUGCCGCUCAUGCUGCGAACCCACCGACCUCUCUCGGGCAAUAAGCGGCCCGUCUGCUCCGCGGAAAGCCGCGCGAUGACCGGUGGACACCGUGGAUCGUACUCAAGUUGGACCACGUGUAAUGUAAUUAAGUGCUGACACACAGUCACUGACUUUCAGUGUGUGCGUGUGCUUUAAUUCCCGCUGGGAGGAUUUAGGCAAGAUGAGGAGUUUCACUCGUGCUUAUGCUGUUGUUGAGUCAUGACCCUCCCUCUGUCUUUCUCUCUCUAGUCACCCAUCUCACUCACACACAUAAGCAGAGGGCAGGGAAGGUUGUGUCCUUGUCAUAAAAUGAGCUUGCCCUCACAAACACACAAAAUCACCCCGAGGCGAAGGGACCAGCCUGGCUUGGUAUCUGUUUGUCACAGCAGUGUCACAUUGGCAGUGAGAACUCAUUUAUCAGCCCGGCACGUGGACCGUCUGAACACAUGCACAAGCCAUAUUCAGCAGCAUGCCUGUUUACUAGAAAACAGGAAAUGCUUCGCAGCAUGUAAACAUUGUAUUGUAAUUGUAUUGUAUUAAGAUCCGAGAGAAUUAAAGUACUGGGCUCACCAAGUGGGUGCCUGCCAGCUAUCAACAGCAUUUAUGUAAUACUGAAGGCAAAGGGCACCAAUUGUCUUCUGUGUGUGUCUCAAUCUUUUGAGCUUUGUGUAGAUGAAAAUGUGUGUUUUGUGUUUGUGCGGAAACUUCAAAAAUGCUGUAUGUGCUUCCUUGACUAAGCCACAGAAAAACAAAACCACAAUGUUGUACUUUUGCUGUACAAAUAGUGAAAAAACAAAGGUGCCAAAAUUGGACAAAGCCAAAACUAUGCAUUGUUUUUAGAGACAUGUGAACUCAAAAAGCUCUUGGCACUUAGUGACAGACCUGUUUCUUUGGUUGUUUUUUUAUUGAAUGCACCACUGAAACAGUUCAGGCCGAAUGUGUUUUUUGGGAAUUUUUUUCUGUUCCGCUUUGAUUUUUACACCAAUACUUGAAAAUGGGUCAGUUCUGGUAAAAUAUUUAAAACUGUGAAAAUGCACACCACUGGGGAAACAAACCCUCAGAAAAUAAAAAAAAAAAAAAUAUAUAUAUAUAUAUAUAAUAUAAAGAGGUCUUUUUCAUGCCUAAUAAAAUG
ensembl:lncRNA